CCUACGGGAGGCAGCAGUGAGGAAUAUUGGACAAUGGGCGCAAGCCUGAUCCAGCCAUGCCGCGUGCAGGAAGAAGCAUCUAUGGUGUGUAAACUGCUUUUGUACAGGAAGAAACACUCCCUCGUGAGGGAGCUUGACGGUACUGUAAGAAUAAGGACCGGCUAACUCCGUGCCAGCAGCCGCGGUAAUACGGAGGGUCCGAGCGUUAUCCGGAAUCAUUGGGUUUAAAGGGUCCGUAGGCGGUUUAAUAAGUCAGUGGUGAAAUCUGGUCGCUCAACGAUCAAACGGCCAUUGAUACUGUUAGACUUGAAUUAUAAGGAAGUAACUAGAAUAUGUAGUGUAGCGGUGAAAUGCUUAGAUAUUACAUGGAAUACCAAUUGCGAAGGCAGGUUACUACUUAUGGAUUGACGCUGAUGGACGAAAGCGUGGGGAGCGAACAGGAUUAGAUACCCUGGUAGUCCACGCCGUAAACGAUGGAUACUAGCUGUUCGGAGCAAUCUGAGUGGCUAAGCGAAAGUGAUAAGUAUCCCACCUGGGGAGUACGUUGCAAGAAUGAAACUCAAAGGAAUUGACGGNNGAGAGAGCGAGACGACGACGAGGGAGGAGG
rnacentral:rRNA from 1 species